CGAGAAAAUUUAGCAACCAAGUAACCCAAUAAAAGAUAGCAAUAAAGUAAUCCAAUAAAAAAUAAUUUUAAAAAAUGUUGGGCACCUGGGUGGCUCAGUGGGUUAAGCC